GAUGAACGCUGGCGGCGUGCCUAAUACAUGCAAGUCGAGCGAAUGGAUUAAGAGCUUGCUCUUAUGAAGUUAGCGGCGGACGGGUGAGUAACACGUGGGUAACCUGCCCAUAAGACUGGGAUAACUCCGGGAAACCGGGGCUAAUACCGGAUAACAUUUUGAACCGCAUGGUUCGAAAUUGAAAGGCGGCUUCGGCUGUCACUUAUGGAUGGACCCGCGUCGCAUUAGCUAGUUGGUGAGGUAACGGCUCACCAAGGCAACGAUGCGUAGCCGACCUGAGAGGGUGAUCGGCCACACUGGGACUGAGACACGGCCCAGACUCCUACGGGAGGCAGCAGUAGGGAAUCUUCCGCAAUGGACGAAAGUCUGACGGAGCAACGCCGCGUGAGUGAUGAAGGCUUGCGGGUCGUAAAACUCUGUUGUUAGGGAAGAACAAGUGCUAGUUGAAUAAGCUGGCACCUUGACGGUACCUAACCAGAAAGCCACGGCUAACUACGUGCCAGCAGCCACCGUAA
rnacentral:rRNA from 1 species